rnacentral:rRNA from 1 species
CCUACGGGUGGCAGCAGUGGGGAAUAUUGGGCAAUGGAGGCAACUCUGACCCAGCAAUGCCGCGUGAGUGAUGAAGGUAAUUCUAUUGUAAAGCUCUUUUCUUUGGAACGAAUAAAUGACGGUACCAAAGGAAUAAGCCCUGGCUAACUACGAGGCAGCAGCUGCGUCAAUACGUAGGGGGACAGCGUUGUUCGGAAUGAAUGGGCGUAACGGGUGUGUAGGUGGUUGGAUAAGUUAGAUGUGUAAUAGCCAGGGCUUAACUCGGGUGCUGCAUCUAAAACUGUUAGCCUUGAGUACUGGAGAGGUUAGUGGAAUGCCUAGUGUAGCGGUGGAAUGCGUAGAUAUUAGGAGGAACAUCAGUGGCGAAGGCGGCUAUCUGGACAGCAACUGACACUGAGGCACGAAAGCGUGGGGAGCGAACAGGAUUAGAUACCCCUGUAGUC